CGACCGCCGCUGCCUCGAGUUUGAUAAAAGUUUUCGUUUUUGUUCUUCAAUUCUCAGCCGAUUGCAUUAAUAAGUCGCUGAUUUCAAUGGACACGAAUAACAUUAUGAUCUCUCUCGGUCUAUCUGUGUCGGAUCAUAACAUGUUCAUUGUUCAUAGGGAAACCACUCUGGCUGUCAGUGGUAAAAUUAUUAAUAUACAUACACUUAUUGGAAUCUGAAGAAAUCGAUAAUCUUGAAAGGAAACGGAUGCAGUUGGAGGUUGAGCUCCAUGCUUUAGAGAAGGAAACAGAUACAUCAAGCAAAGUUCGACUUGUUGAAGUUAAAAAAGAACUUAAUGAUUUGAGAGUAACUACCAAAGAACAUGCUGAUAGUCGAUAA